ACCGAAGCAGGAACCUGCCUUUGUGAAAUGGGGACAAUAAAAACAUUUCCCCCUUCACUGCCCCACCCUUGUCUCUCCACUUACGAGGCUGGCGGGAGCGCUCGUUAGCCUGUAAACUGCUUCUGGUCUUCCUUGGAGAGUGACAUCUGAUGGAGACUCAGGCCAGUGAAGGUGGAAAUAGCGUGAGGCUCAGUCUUGGAGAACGAGUGGUCCUGGGAUCGAUAUUUGUGCCUGAAUCCACGAGUCGAAUGAGGUUGUUCCAGGCCUGAAAGGGACGCACAAGACUUCUGUUAACAUCUCAGUGGCAAAAAUUCAUCUUUGGCUACAUCUGGGCAUAGGAGGCGCUGGAAAAAGGAAUGCAUGUUUGAGCAGCUGUCUUUUAUCAACAACUUCACACUGUGGAAGAGGAAACAUGAUUUUUGGUGGGCCGAUAGCCAUCUCUUUUGUAAAAGUAUCAUCAUCAUCAUCCCCAUUUUUGGAUGGGGAAACUGAGGCUCCAGUGCUGAAGUAACUCACCCAAGGUCUGUAGCUGAAGAGAAAUGGACACGGAACCAAAGGCAGCUUCCUGGGAUGUCAAAGAUGUAGCUUUUUCAAGGGACAGACAUGUUCUUGAAGACGGCUGAGAACAAUGGUUCCCGGCUGCCAUCCAGG
rnacentral:lncRNA from 1 species